rnacentral:rRNA from 1 species
AUUGAACGCUGGCGGCAUGCUUUACACAUGCAAGUCGAACGGUAACAGGGAGCUUGCUCCGCUGACGAGUGGCGAACGGGUGAGUAAUGCGUCGGAACGUGCCGAGUAGUGGGGGAUAACGCAUCGAAAGGUGUGCUAAUACCGCAUACGUACUGAGGUAGAAAGUGGGGGACCUUCGGGCCUCACGCUAUUCGAGCGGCCGACGUCUGAUUAGCUAGUUGGUGAGGUAAAGGCUCACCAAGGCGACGAUCAGUAGCGGGUCUGAGAGGAUGAUCCGACACACUGGGACUGGGACACGGCCCAGACUCCGACGGGAGGCAGCAGUGGGGAAUUUUGGACAAUGGGCGCAAGCCUGAUCCAGCCAUGCCGCGUGUCUGAAGAAGGCCUUCGGGUUGUAAAGGACUUUUGUCCGGGAGCAAAUGCUGGUGGCUAACAUCCACCGGAGCUGAGAGUACCGGAAGAAUAAGCACCGGCUAACUACGUGCCAGCCGCCGCCGUAAGAC